AUUCCAGCUCCAAUAGCGUAUAUUAAAGUUGUUGCAGUUAAAAAGCUCGUAGUUGGAUUUGUGGUGUUUGGCUGAGUCCCAGCAUUGUCUGGGGUCUCGUGUUGAAUGCCAUCCUUGGGUGGAAGCAGUGUGGCAUUAGGUUGUCGUGCUGUGGAUGCCCAUCGUUUACUGUGAAAAAAUCAGCGCGUUCAAAGCAGGCUUAUGCCGUUGAAUGUAUUAGCAUGGAAUAAUAAGAUAGGACCUUGGUACUAUUUUGUUGGUUUGCGCACCGAGGUAAUGAUUAAUAGGGACAGUUGGGGGUAUUCGUAUUCCAUUGUCAGAGGUGAAAUUCUUGGAUUUCUGGAAGACGAACUACUGCGAAAGCAUUUACCAAGGAUGUUUUC
rnacentral:rRNA from 1 species